CAAAGAGUGGGGAGAAAGGGAGGCACCAAGUUGAAGUGGCAGUUUCAUGUCAAAAACUUGACAGAAAUUCUCGAUUUUGAACGUUUCAAAACUUUGAGGAAGGGCAAGGCGUUUGCAAAUUAACUUGCAUUUGGAUUCUUCAGUUGAGUGUUCUAGAGGAUCAGACAUGACCUCACCUCUAGAGUUUGAUAGCAGAUCUUGAUCCAAGGGUGAGCACUACGUCUCCAGGCUACCAUGGGUCAUCUUAUUUUGUUCUUGCCCAUCUUUCGAGCAAUGAAAUAUUGUUCUUGUCCAUCUUUCGAGAAAUGAAACAUUCUUUAGUUACUUUAUUUUUGGAUAUCUCUUUAGACAUGAUCUUUGUUAGUAGUUCUUGUACUAUGUUUUUCGGAUCUUGGAGAUUUUAGUAAGUAGUUUAUUUGACUUCCACAUUAAUAAUGAUUA